rnacentral:rRNA from 1 species
GUGCCAGCAGCCGCGGUAAUACGGAAGGUCCGGGCGUUAUCCGGAUUUAUUGGGUUUAAAGGGAGCGCAGGCUGGCUUUUAAGCGUGACGUGAAAUGCGGCGGCUCAACCGUCCGAAGUGCGUCGCGAACUGGAGGCCUUGAGUGAGUUCGACGCCGGCGGAAUUCGUGGUGUAGCGGUGAAAUGCUUAGAUAUCACGAGGAACCCCGAUUGCGAAGGCAGCCGGCGAGGCCUUUACUGACGCUAAAGCUCGAAGGUGCGGGUAUCGAACAGGAUUAGAUACCCUGGUAGUCCGCACGGUAAACGAUGGAUGCCCGCUGUUUGCGAUACACUGUGAGCGGCCAAGCGAAAGCGUUAAGCAUCCCACCUGGGGAGUACGCCGGCAACGGUGAAACUCAAAGGAGUUGACGGGGGCCCGCACAAGCGGAGGAACAUGUGGUUUAAUUCGAUGAUACGCGAGGAACCUUACCCGGGCUUGAACUGCAGCGGAACGAUUCAGAGAUGAUGAGGUCCUUCGGGACCGCUGUGGAGGUGCUGCAUGGUUGUCGUCAGCUCGUGCCGUGAGGUGUCGGCUUAAGUGCCAUAACGAGCGCAACCCCUCUCUUCAGUUGCCAUCGGGUUAUGCCGGGCACUCUGGAGACACUGCCACCGUAAGGUGUGAGGAAGGUGGGGAUGACGUCAAAUCAGCACGGCCCUUACGUCCGGGGCUACACACGUGUUACAAUGGGUGGUACAGAGAACCGGUCUGCCGCAAGUCAGAUCCAAUCAAGAAAGCCAUCCUCAGUUCGGACUGGGGUCUGCAACCCGACCCCACGAAGCUGGAUUCGCUAGUAAUCGCGCAUCAGCCAUGGCGCGGUGAAUACGUUCCCGGGCCUUGUACACACCGCCCGU